rnacentral:rRNA from 1 species
UACGAAGGGGGCUAGCGUUGCUCGGAAUCACUGGGCGUAAAGCGCACGUAGGCGGCUUUCUAAGUCAGGGGUGAAAUCCUGGAGCUCAACUCCAGAACUGCCUUUGAUACUGGAGAGCUUGAGUCCGGAAGAGGUGAGUGGAACUCCGAGUGUAGAGGUGAAAUUCGUAGAUAUUAGGAAGAACACCAGUGGCGAAGGCGGCUCACUGGUCCGGUACUGACGCUGAUGUGCGAAAGCGUGGGGAGCAAACAGG